GCGUGGGCAGUGAAAGUAAUUUUUUUUUUUUUUGGAGACAAGCUCGGCUGUUAAGCGGCGAUGACGGACGGUGUCGCCGGGCUCCCCGAGGGAGCCGUGCAGGGUGGCAGCCGGGAUCUGCGGGGAGGGAGAGGAGACGAGCUGCACCUUGAGAGAAAUUGCCCCUUGUUUUGCCCGCUCACGCCGAGGGUGCGAUAAUGGGGCAAACUGGAGCGAAGUCAACCAGCAGAAUGGGGGCUGCUGCAUCCUGGAGGCUAACCCAAGAAGGCAAUUGCCACAGACCCUGUACUACAGUGUCUUUUUGUAGGAGCCCCUCUCAAAGCACAGAAAGAUUCCUCCUAGGAUGGCCAUGGCACUCUUUUCAGGCACCCUGCCUAGGAGCCUCUGCUCUCAGGAGGUGGCAUCUUCCCCCUGGAACUCCAUGCAGGUAAGAAGUCAAAAGGAGAGCUGAAUGACUUUUUAUGCUGACCUUCUUAAACUGUUCAGUGUCUCAACCAAAAUGCCUUAACCAAAGUCUUUUGGCUGUUUUCAUCUUUUAGUUUAGUGGCCUUUAUUUGCUGUCACACUUGUAUGAGUCAGGCCUUUUAUGUAAAGCGUAUGGGAUAGGCUUCUGCAGAGACUCUGAACUACAGAAUUAUGUAUUAACUCAUCUUUUAGAAUGACUCUGAUCCCUAUGGCACAUUAAAAAUUACUGUGUUUAAUAAUAUAGCUAAAUAUACAAGUUGUUGUUUGGAAGGUCUCAAUUUAUUAGAUAGUAAAUGUAAAAGUAAGUGCAUGGUAAAAUUCAAAAUUGAAAGGAAAAUAAGAAGAACAAGAAUGAGUUUGCAACUGAAGGACAAGCCUGAACCCAGCAGUAUAGACCAUAUAUCUGCUUAAAUAUCCAUUCUCUGAGCAUCCCUGGAUACGGAUAGACUGCUCCAGCAAAUAAGUUUGAGAAUACACACUCACCAGAUCAGCACCUCAGACUGCAUGCUCACAAAAGAUACUGCUUUUCUGUCAUGGUACAUUGUCAAAAAAAAACCCCCUCCCUAGAGUUCAACUGACAGUAGUAGUUGCUACAGCAAUACAGAUUGAAAAUAAGCCUAGUAAAUCAUUCAAGUCUCAUUUUUGUAUCUAUUUAAUCAAUAGGACAACUUCUGAAGCAGAACACUGCUUAUCCUGAAUAAAAGUGGCAGUUAUAUCCAGGUUCUAACACUGGGAGGUCAAAUGGUUGAAUUUGCUUUAUGUAUAUGAAGCCAGACUCUACAGUAAGUACCAGUGAUGAAUUACAAGCACGACUAUGGGUUCCCCAGAAACGUCAUGGACUUUUUGCAAGGAUCUCCAGAAAACAUUCAAAAUGCUUAGAAAUGACAACUUGAAAUCUUGCCCUGAAGUUAGGAAAAGGAAUUUAGCUCUCCAAAGAUGUUGUUUCUGGUGCUGGAUAUUAAAACCAAUUCUUUGGAUGGCAGGGAGAUGAAAACAAGUGGAGGCAAAUUAACAGGAACUAAAACUGAGAUCUAAUAAAAACUAUUGGAGUAAAAAAAAGAAUCAACAA